AGAACUCUGCAGUUAAGUGUGCUUGGGUGAGAGUAGUACUAGGAUGGGUGAACUCUUGGGAAGUCCUCGUGUUUCAUCGC
rnacentral:rRNA from 1 species